rnacentral:rRNA from 1 species
AAUGGAAGGGCCAUCGCUCAACGGAUAAAAGGUACUCCGGGGAUAACAGGCUGAUACCGCCCAAGAGUUCAUAUCGACGGCGGUGUUUGGCACCUCGAUGUCGGCUCAUCUCAUCCUGGGGCUGAAGCAGGUCCCAAGGGUAUGGCUGUUCGCCAUUUAAAGAGGUACGCGAGCUGGGUUUAGAACGUCGUGAGACAGUUCGGUCCCUAUCUACCGUGGGCGUUGGAAAUUUGAGAGGAUCUGCUCCUAGUACGAGAGGACCAGAGUGGACGAACCUCUGGUGUUCCGGUUGUCACGCCAGUGGCAUUGCCGGGUAGCUAUGUUCGGAUGGGAUAACCGCUGAAAGCAUCUAAGCGGGAAGCCCACCUCAAGAUAAGAUUUCCCUAAAGAGCCGUUGUAGACUACGACGUUGAUAGGUUGGGUGUGGAAGCAUGGCGACAUGUGUAGCUAACCAAUACUAAUUGCUCGUUUGGCUUGACCAUACAACACCCAAAUGGUUUU